rnacentral:lncRNA from 1 species
GUUGUUGGGAAAGUUGAAAAAGAAAGAGAAAGCAUUGAGCUAAUGUGUUGAGCAAAAGUGAAAAAGAUAGAAAAAGAUGAAAAAGAUAGAAUGAACGAAAGAUAAGCUCAAUGAAAAAAGGGGAAAGUUGGGAGUAAGAUUGAUUGGUUAAAAAGAGAGUUUGUGCUUGAAUUAUGAAUGUAUAAAUAACUCUCUUAACUCAAGGGUUUUGUGAUCUAGAAAAACCAAUUUUUCUUGUUAGCCCAAUCCACAUUAUAAGCCUUGAAAAUGUCCUUGUGAUGACAUGUGUGUGUGAGAAUGUUGAUUGUGGUAAA